rnacentral:rRNA from 1 species
GACGAACGCUGGCGGCGUGCCUAAUACAUGCAAGUAGAACGCUGAAGGAGGAGCUUGCUUCUCUGGAUGAGUUGCGAACGGGUGAGUAACGCGUAGGUAACCUGCCUGGUAGCGGGGGAUAACUAUUGGAAACGAUAGCUAAUACCGCAUAAGAGUAGAUGUUGCAUGACAUUUGCUUAAAAGGUGCAAUUGCAUCACUACCAGAUGGACCUGCGUUGUAUUAGCUAGUUGGUGAGGUAACGGCUCACCAAGGCAACGAUACAUAGCCGACCUGAGAGGGUGAUCGGCCACACUGGGACUGAGACACGGCCCAGACUCCUACGGGAGGCAGCAGUAGGGAAUCUUCGGCAAUGGACGGAAGUCUGACCGAGCAACGCCGCGUGAGUGAAGAAGGGUUUCGGAUCGUAAAGCUCUGUUGUAAGAGAAGAACGAGUGUGAGAGUGGAAAGUUCACUCUGUGACGGUAUCUUACCAGAAAGGGACGGCUAACUACGUG